rnacentral:rRNA from 1 species
GGUGACUGCCGGUGACAAACCGGAGGAAGGUGGGGAUGACGUCAAAUCAUCAUGCCCCUUAUGACCUGGGCUACACACGUGCUACAAUGGACAGAACAAAGGGCUGCGAGACCGCAAGGUUUAGCCAAUCCCACAAAUCUGUUCUCAGUUCGGAUCGCAGUCUGCAACUCGACUGCGUGAAGCUGGAAUCGCUAGUAAUCGCGGAUCAGCAUGCCGCGGUGAAUACGUUCCCGGGCCUUGUACACACCGCCCGUC